UGGGUGUAAUGCCGGAUGCUCCGCCCCACCGCAUGGUGGGGUGGGAAAUGCUUUUUGCGGCAUGGGAUGGGGUCGCGUCCUAUCAGCUUGUUGGCGGGGUGAUGGCCCACCAAGGCGUUGACGGGUAGCCGGCCUGAGAGGGUGACCGGCCACAUUGGGACUGAGAUACGGCCCAGACUCCUACGGGAGGCAGCAGUGGGGAAUAUUGCACAAUGGGCGCAAGCCUGAUGCAGCGACGCCGCGUGCGGGAUGGAGGCCUUCGGGUUGUAAACCGCUUUUGUUCAAGGGCAAGGCACGGCUUCGGGCCGUGUUGAGUGGAUUGUUCGAAUAAGCACCGGCUAACUACGUGCCAGCAGCCGCGGUAAUACGUAGGGUGCGAGCGUUAUCCGGAUUUAUUGGGCGUAAAGGGCUCGUAGGCGGUUCGUCGCGUCCGGUGUGAAAGUCCAUCGCCUAACGGUGGAUCUGCGCCGGGUACGGGCGGGCUGGAUGCGUAGGGGAACUGGAAUUCCCGGUGUAACGGUGC
rnacentral:rRNA from 1 species